GUCCACGCCCUAAACGAUGCGAACUGGACGUUGGGAGCAAUUAGGCUCUCAGUGUCGAAGCUAACGCGUUAAGUUCGCCGCCUGGGGAGUACGGUCGCAAGACUGAAACUCAAAGGAAUUGACGGGGGCCCCGCACAAGCGGUGGAGUAUGUGGUUUAAUUCGAUGCAACGCGAAGAACCUUACCUGGCCUUGACAUCCACGGAAUCCUUGAGAGAUCAGGGAGUGCCUUCGGGAACCGUGAGACAGGUGCUGCAUGGCUGUCGU
rnacentral:rRNA from 1 species